rnacentral:rRNA from 1 species
UCUCCUGGAAAACGGGUGGUAAUACCGGAUGCUCCGCUCCAUCGCAUGGUGGGGUGGGAAAUGCUUUUGCGGCAUGGGAUGGGGUCGCGUCCUAUCAGCUUGUUGGCGGGGUGAUGGCCCACCAAGGCGUUGACGGGUAGCCGGCCUGAGAGGGUGACCGGCCACAUUGGGACUGAGAUACGGCCCAGACUCCUACGGGAGGCAGCAGUGGGGAAUAUUGCACAAUGGGCGCAAGCCUGAUGCAGCGACGCCGCGUGCGGGAUGGAGGCCUUCGGGUUGUAAACCGCUUUUGUUCAAGGGCAAGGCACGGUUUCGGCCGUGUUGAGUGGAUUGUUCGAAUAAGCACCGGCUAACUACGUGCCAGCAGCCGCGGUAAUACGUAGGGUGCGAGCGUUAUCCGGAUUUAUUGGGCGUAAAGGGCUCGUAGGCGGUUCGUCGCGUCCGGUGUGAAAGUCCAUCGCCUAACGGUGGAUCUGCGCCGGGUACGGGCGGGCUGGAGUGCGGUAGGGGAGACUGGAAUUCCCGGUGUAACGGUGGAAUGUGUAGAUAUCGGAAAA